GGAGGAAUGAUGACAUCAUGAGAUGGAAAACAGUACAGCUCAAAGUCAAAGGGAGAGUUCAGGUCCAGCAUCAAACAGGGGACAUCAGGAACAGAAGCAGCUCCAUUGAUCCGACUCCUCUGAUGGCUGAUCAAUCAGUUUGAUCUGUGUGUUCUUUGAUUAUUGAUCAGUGAUGUCAGAGUGGAGUCAGUGUGAUGUUGUUGUUGUGUGUUUGAGACUUUUAGUGUCCAUGAAGGUCUCUGCUGCCGUAGAUCCUCUGAACUGUGACAGAGGUCUCACUCUGGAGGAAACUCUCAGCACUUUCCAGCAGCUCCUCCAUCAUGGAGGACGUUCCCUCACUGUAACAGGUGGAGGAGAGAGGAGAGGAAGCACAGGUGGAUCCUCUGAGGAAGAGGAGCGUCCUACAAACCACAUGAUCACAUGACCAGAGGACAAGCAUGUGCAGAAACACAUUAAAGUCAGCCUGUAAACACGUUUGUGUAAAUUCUAGUCGUGUUUUUCUGUCACAUUCAAAUAAAAGCAGAGAAAGCAGAACAAA